rnacentral:rRNA from 1 species
AUGGUGUGGUAUGUGUUGAACAAUUGUAGUCAAGCUGAGAAGUAUAUAGAAAUGUUCAAGGGUGAGCUAGAGAGAGAAGGACUGAGAGAAGGACUGCCAAACAUUGAAAGAAGGCCUCGGAAAGGAUUCCAGACAUGGUUUAGGAACUAUAUAAUGACGUUGCGGAAUGAGGAUGCCAAAGAGGUUGACAAAGAUCUCUUUACCUUGGCAUGUGGUCCUGAUUCGAGAGUCAGGAAAUACUCAUCAUGCAUAAUGAAUGGCAUUCGGUUUAGUACUGUUAACCUUGAUAACAGUAGGAGAACACAAAAUAGAGGAGUCACGUCUGAAGGUAGGCAUGACAGGAAGGUCAUUGACUUUUAUGGAACCCUGAAAGAGAUCAUUCAGUUAGACUAUAACUUGGAUGACAGGUCGGUUGUUCUGUUUAAAUGUGACUGGUUUAAGCUUGAUGGGAAGAAGACUGAACCUCAAAAUGAUGGGGUUUUUUACAAGCAUCAACGUGGGAAGUUUAUGAUACAAGGAUGA